rnacentral:rRNA from 1 species
GGCAUGUGCACACCUCACUCAUCCACUCUACACCUGUGCACUUACUGUGGGUUUCGAGAGGCCGCGCUUGCGUGGUUGAUCGGGCUCACGUCUAUUACAAACUCUUCAGUAUCAGAAUGUGUAUCGCGAUGUAACGCAUCUAUAUACAACUUUCAGCAACGGAUCUCUUGGCUCUCGCAUCGAUGAAGAACGCAGCGAAAUGCGAUAAGUAAUGUGAAUUGCAGAAUUCAGUGAAUCAUCGAAUCUUUGAACGCACCUUGCGCUCCUUGGUAUUCCGAGGAGCAUGCCUGUUUGAGUGUCGUGUAAUUCUCAACCUAUAAAUCCUUGUGGUUUUUAGGCUUGGACUUGGAGGCUUUUGCUGGCUUUACCGUCGGCUCCUCUUAAACGCAUUAGCUUGAUUCCUUGCGGAUCGGCUCUCAGUGUGAUAAUUAUCUGCGCUGUGACCGUGAAGCGUUUGGCGAGCUUCUAACCGUCUCUUCGAGACAAACACUUUGACAUCUGACCUCAAAUCAGGUAGGACUACCCGCUGAACUUAAGC